GGUUAUGGCUCAGUGGUAGAGCACUCGCCUCGCACAUUCGAGAUCCUGGGUUCAAUCCUCAGCACCA
rnacentral:tRNA from 1 species